AGCCCCUCCCCAGAACAACCAAGCCAGCAACAUUGCAGUGAAUGCAGGGCCAAAUGAGAAUGAGAAUGAUACGCCGGCGUACCUGCAAGGCUACAUCUAUGAUGAUGACAUGGAGGACCUGUAUGAAGCUUCCAGGAAGAGAGAAGGAGACGAAAGCACCAGCAGUCCGCCAAAGAGGAUGAAGAUGGAUUAAAGGGCAUGCAUGACAGAUACACGUAAGACUUGGAAAGUGCAACGGGGAAAUAAGCCAUGCAAUAUCAAGGCUUGUUCAGGAAUUCACGCUGUGCCAUAAGUUAAGGGAAAAAGAAUUGUUACAGUAGCAAAAUAUUGUUUGAGAAGGUUAGGCCAUGUUGACAUAAUUUUAUGGAUGACAUCUUCCGUAGACCACAAAACUAUUGCACAAGGCCAAAAAAAAUCCUGUAGAAAAUAAUGCUGCUAAGUGACAGGACUAAACAUCCCGGUCAAGGCUUGUCUUAUGCUCGCCUCUAGUAAGAAUGCAAGAGACAUUUGUCGCCAUUUUAUUGUUUCUUGGAGAACAAUUAUGGGAGCUGUGGCCCUAUGAUCCGACCAUGUGCCCUUACCCUGGAGAGCAGAUCCUCUGUGGCAAGCAUAAAAUGCUGAUUGACUGAUGGAUGCUAUUGGUUCACAUGUGGCCAGUGUUCUUAGAACAGGCGAAAAUCAAUCUGUGUGUGGAUGUCAAGUCAUAAAAUUAAGUCAGUGUGGCUAAUAUGUAAGCAAAAUAUACAUUGUAAGUUAUUGCAUUUAUUGCUAAAAGCAUGUUGCAGUGUUGGAGGGCAGGGUUUGAGGCCUAAGAAAAGACAAAAAGUACAACAGUAUUGAAAAGUAUCAGUUCUUCUCUAGUAUACUACAUUAGUACGACUGUGUUAGAUAAUGAGCCAAGUUGAAAAAAGCUUAGGCUGUAGCUGAAAACGUGUGCUAGUUUCUAACCAAGUACAGUUCUACUAACUUUUGUUUCAGUGGGGCAAAUUUGUCAAGUCAGAAAAGACAAAAAGUACAUAUUGGAAAAGUAGAAGUUCUUCUCUAGUAUACUACAUUAGUACGACUGUGUUAGAUAAUGAGCCAAGUUGAAAAAAGCUCAGGCUGUAGCUGAAAACGUGUCAAGUUUCUAAUCAAUUUCAGUUCUACUAACUUUACAUUUCAGUCGGGCAAAUUUGUCUGGAACUUGCCCAAAAUCAAGGGUUUGUACUUUAAUCAAGAAAAUAUGGAACAUGUGAAUAUAGAGAUUUGAUUCAAUGCAGUGCACCAUUUCAUACUGUGCAUUUAGAAGUAUCAGACAUGUGAAGUUCCUUAUUGGAACAAGGCAAUGACAUGAAGAAGGACCUUGUUUUAUUUCCUGAUGUGUAUAAGAAAGCAAUGGGAUAAAUAGCAAAUAGUAUCAUUU